rnacentral:rRNA from 1 species
GUGGGGAAUAUUGCACAAUGGGCGAAAGCCUGAUGCAGCGACGCCGCGUGAGCGAAGAAGUAUUUCGGUAUGUAAAGCUCUAUCAGCAGGGAAGAUAAUGACGGUACCUGACUAAGAAGCACCGGCUAAAUACGUGCCAGCAGCCGCGGUAAUACGUAUGGUGCAAGCGUUAUCCGGAUUUACUGGGUGUAAAGGGAGUGUAGGUGGCAUCACAAGUCAGAAGUGAAAGCCCGGGGCUCAACCCCGGGACUGCUUUUGAAACUGUGGAGCUGGAGUGCAGGAGAGGCAAGUGGAAUUCCUAGUGUAGCGGUGAAAUGCGUAGAUAUUAGGAGGAACACCAGUGGCGAAGGCGGCUUGCUGGACUGUAACUGACACUGAGGCUCGAAAGCGUGGGGAGCAAACAGGAUUAGAUACCCCUGUAGUCC